GGGCCUACGGGAGGCAGCAGUAGGGAAUCUUCCACAAUGGACGAAAGUCUGAUGGAGCAACGCCGCGUGAGUGAAGAAGGGUUUCGGCUCGUAAAGCUCUGUUGGUAGUGAAGAAAGAUAGAGGUAGUAACUGGCCUUUAUUUGACGGUAAUUACUUAGAAAGUCACGGCUAACUACGUGCCAGCAGCCGCGGGAAUACGGAGGUUGCAAGCGUUGUCCGGGUUUAUUGGGCGUAAAGCGAGUGCAGGCGGUUCAAUAAAGCUUCGU
rnacentral:rRNA from 1 species